GCGCUUCCAGAGCCAAUCCGCCUCGUCCCACUCCCGCAUCUCAGCCGUCAUACAAACCCUAGCCCCGUUUUUCCUCGAUCCCCAGUCCCCACACGCUCCUGCCUCCUCCAUCCCUCCUCCUCGCGUGACCACGGCCUCCGCCCUGCAGCCUCGCCGCCUCCUGCUAUUCCGCCUCCACCACGCUAGCCCCUCUACCUCGCCUUCCUUCUCUUCGUUGUCAAUGCGGCCUUCAUCGACCCCUGGUUCCAGAUCGGGCGCAGGUUAGGCGAGCCCGGUGGUGGGGUGAAGGGGCAGGGGAGGCGGGCGACGAGGGCAGGUAACUGUCGGCCCGUCGCGAUGUGCUGAGGCUACAGGGAAGAGGGAGGAGGUGGGCGACAGGGUGAAGGAGCAGGCCGGCCCUCCUGGAAGCACCGCUGCCGCUCAGCCAGGAAGGAGGCCAGGCUCGCCUCUGCUGUGCCAUGAGCGGCGGCGCCGCCUAUGCCUCCACCCCCACCUUCUUUUCCAUGCCUCUUCCUCCGCAUAGGCAGAUUUUGGGGAGACGCCAAGAAUAAUAAUUCAAGUGGAUGGCCGAUGCACCUUGUUGUUUAGCGGUAUGAUGAUCGGCGAAAGUAUGUUCUAUAUUGCAAGAUGAUUGCAGCUGAUGCCGAGCCUCUCGGGAGAGCCUCUUCCAAUUUCCCCUCCUCACCAAGGACGAGGGCAUGAGGUAGUAACUGUAGCAUGCAGAAUUACCUACAGCUUGAGUAUAUACACAUUAUCCACUUCAUAUUUUAUUCCAAUGGUUUUACUUCCACAUCACAUGUUUAUUUAUAUUAAAUCACAAGAACUUCAUGAGCUUGCUUGGUUACCGUGGAGAAGGGCAUUCUUUCAUGGAGCUGUAGAUUUUUUGAAUAUGCUCCCUGUUGGACACUUUUUUGGGUAUGUCCAAGAUUUGUUGAGAAUGGGUGUGAAAAAAUUGACCAUCUGGUGGACUUAUACGCACGGUAUGUUUAGUUUCAAGAUAACUAAUGGAACUGCUUUAUUCCUUGCUGUGUACAUUUUUAGAACAUUAUUCCUUUUUUGUGUACUGAUUGAAUGAUCUGCUUGCACCAUGCAGGUACUCAUACAUAGUGAAAGCAGAGGCCGAAAGGUUUCGAUUUAGAUGAUUUAAUGGUGCCUUGUCUAUCUUCUUACCUCCAGGUCAAAAUUAAGCACACGAUUUCUUGCUGAAGGACAUGCUCUUAUUCUCUGAGAUGGACAAUGAUGAGCGGUACAACCGAAAAUUCAGAGCUGGGCUUUAUACACUUCAGUGGGCAAAUUGGAAUGCAGGUACUAGCAUCACAACACUGGGGUGGAGACCUGAAGCGAAGCAGAGGGGCGGACCAAGGAAAUCAGAGUCACGCUAUUUCUAUAUAUCCUCAUUCUGCGCUCUUAUAUUUUUUACACAUUUACAAUCUUGUGUUCGAAUAAUUCUUGUGGCUUGACAAGACAGAGUGGAGGAUCAAGGAAUGAAGUCAGAAUAGUUUUCUAAUUAAAUAUAUCCAAAGGAUGAUAAUAGGUUGUGUCAAGAUGAGUGCACGAGAAGGAUAGUGAAAAAGAAAGGUGAGAAGGGUUCUGAGUAUUCUUUCCUCACUUUUCAGGACAUGAAUUUGUCCUUUAAUUCUUGUUAUUCGUAUUAAAGAAAGCGAAAAGUAAUAAUUAUGCAUAUUUUUUAAAUUUGUGUUCUACAGUUCAAUCAAUGAGACCAUAAUUUAGUGGUGAAACAUAUUAAAUACUCCCUCCGUCUCAUAAUGUAAGACGUUUUCUGACACCACUAGUAUCAGAAAACGUCUUACAUUAUGGGACAGAGAGAGUAGUUCAGAUGUUGCCCACACAUGAGCGCCCAUGGGGAAGCCCAGAUCCAUCAUGUCGCUUUGGGUGGAAAGCAGUUCAAUUCUCUAUUUUCCUGGAUAUAGAGUAUCAUGCUUCCAUAUAGUGCUCAUAGAUCUUGUAUGCGUAUCGCCAGUUUGAUUCACAAGGAUUUUAACUUGUUAGGGCACGAUUAUUCGAAGUUUAACAUGUUAUGUAUGCGGACGCACAACAAUAACAGAACGUUCAGAUAAGGUUUUGUCAUGCACAUGGCUACUAAUCACAAAAAGGGUUAGGAACAAGUUUACUAUUGUGAUUUUCAGCAACCGAAAUAGAAGCAGAGUUAACUAUGAUUUUAAGCUACACUUUAGACUUGUCCUGAUAACUAGAACUGCUAUGAUGUUGCUCUAUUAUAAGUGCCUUGCUUUCAUGAGUUGAAAUAACUCAUGGUUGUCUUUUCUUUUGUUUGCACUGUAAGCAAUGUGUGGUAGAAGCUGUAAAAAUGUAGGUCCAGUGUCCUGUAUAUUUUUUGAAUUCACAAUCGGCAGUGUCAAUGUGUCAUGUGUGAUGCAGCAUGAAUCAUAGUGAGCUUAUUUCUUUGCACACUUGGUGUAUCCUCUUAUCAUCUUCUGUACACGUCCUCGAAUGGAAAGAUCAGUAUGGUGGUGCUAUAUUGAAUCAAUUACGUAGGCUUGGAGCCUCCCUUGAUUGGACCAGUGAGAUAAACUUCUUAUUUUCUUUAGUUAAGAAAAAUAGUGAAAACAAUGUAUUGACUAUAGUUCCAACUCCUAAUGUCCACUUAAUGUCAACCUCAUGCGUCAGUGCUUUACAAUGAACGAGAAAAGGUCAAAAGCUGUAACUGAAGCUUUUGUCAGGUUGUAUAAAGAUGGUCUUAUUUAUAGGUUAGUAUCCUCGCCUUCCGUUGUUCAAGGUGUUAAGCAUUUGUGUUUUGCAUGUUAAGUAAUGCUAUGGUGUUUUACUUCUAGAUUUUUUUUUAUUUCUUAUGGAUGUUUCGAUCUUUUGCAGGGAUUGCAUGCUUCUAACUGCGAUUUUUGACAGAGGUUGGUUAAGACUUUUAUUCUCCACAAUAGACAGUUUAUUUAUUUGAAUAUGCUGUUUUAUUAGGUUGAUCAUCUGGGUCUUAAAGAAGAAACUAAAGCUAAAGGUUCCUGGUUACAGCACACCAGUGCAAUUCGUUGUCCUGAUACCCUUUGAGUAUCCUCUUGAAGGAGGAUUGGGUGAGAUUGUUGUUGCAACAAGAAUUGGAACUAUGCUGGGUGAUACAACAAUAUUUGUUCAUCCAGGGAAUAAAAGAUAUAAGCAUCUGCAUGGAAGAUAUGCAAUUCACCCCUUCAAUGGCAGAAAACUAAAAAUAAUCUGCGAUGCUGUGUUGGUGGAUCCCAGUUUCGGCACUAGGUCUGUCAAAGGUGUGAUAUAAUGCCAACUGGCUUAAUAUUCAUGCGUUCCUCUUGUUAUGACAUCGAGCUAAUGUGCCAUCUGUUACACUAUUUGUGCUCCCAGACUAAGCAUAACCUUGCGUACUUUGGAUAAACUACUUUCUAUGAUUCA